AACGAACGUUGGCGGCGUGGAUUAGGCAUGCAAGUCGAGCGAGGACUAUCUAAGUAGCAAUACUCAGGUAGAGCCGAGCGGCGUAAGGGGCAGUAAUACCUGGGGACGUACCCUUCAGUCGGGAAUAGCCGCGGGAAACCGCGGGUAAUGCCCGAUAACACUGAAAAGUCAAAGGCUUGCCGCUGAGGGAGCGGCCCAGGCGCUAUUAGCUGGUUGGUGGGGUAACGGCCUACCAAGGCGAAGAUGGCUAGCGGGUGUGAGAGCACGACCCGCGCCACUGGCACUGAGACACUGGCCAGACACCUACGGGUGGCUGCAGUCGAGGAUCUUCGGCAAUGAGCGCAAGCUUGACCGAGCGACGCCGCGUGCGGGAUGAAGGCCUUCGGGUUGUAAA
rnacentral:rRNA from 1 species